UUCGCCUAAUUGCAUCGAGGACUUUGCUUGCUUGCAUCGAGGACUUCGCCUACUUGGAUUGAGGAUUUUGCUUGCUGUUUGGGAACUACAUCUAUAUGAAUUGGGAUCCAUGCCUAUGGAAUUGGGAACUAUGCCCGUCGAACUGGUGAUUAUAGAGAUUUCUAACUACUUUCCAUUCUAUGAAACAAUUUACCACUUCAGGUUAAUUUAGUAAUUUUCCACUUUUG
rnacentral:lncRNA from 1 species